ACAACUUGUUUUUGCCACAGUGCUGCCAAAUAUCUUUUCCGAAGCUGUAGGGGGAGCUCUAUAGAGAAAACUGCAAGCAAAAAGCGAGAAAACAGAAAUUGACAAAACUGCAAAGUGCCCCUUUAACCUAA